GAGAGCAAGAGAGUGUGAGAGAGGGAAAGAGAUGAGGAAGCUGAGGGAGAGAGAGGGCCUACAUACCUCUCUAAUGUAACAAAAUUCAUUUUAGCCCCUCAACUUUCCAUCCAUUGCACUGCCCUCACUGGGCAUUUUUCGCCCAGAGGGACCGGUCUCCCCGACCUGGGACCGGUCCCCGAGAGCCUCCCCAGAUAUCACGCGUUCGGGAACCGGUCUCUCCCUGAGAGACCGGUCCUCGGGAGACCGGUUCCUAUCUGAGAGACCGGUUCCCGAGAGCUGGAUUUUCAGGACUUAGCCAAAUUUUGGCUUUUCUCGCUAGCGUCACACACAGGGACCGGUCCUCUCAGCCUGGGACUGGUUGUAUCAAAGUUCCCCAGCAACCACCAGCCUCGGGGACCCGUCUCUCCCUGCCAGGGACCGGUCCCCGAGAGCAACUUCAGCCCAGUUCAGGUUUUGCACUAUAUGCUCUCGCGGACAUGUUUC
rnacentral:lncRNA from 1 species